rnacentral:rRNA from 1 species
CCUACGGGAGGCAGCAGUGGGGAAUUUUGCGCAAUGGGGGAAACCCUGAUGCAGCGACGCCGCGUGAGUGAAGAAGUAAUUCGUUAUGUAAAGCUCUAUCAGCAGGGAAGAAAAUGACGGUACCUGAGUAAUAAGCCCCGGCUAACUACGUGCCAGCAGCCGCGGUCAUACGUAGGGGGCAAGCGUUAUCCGGAUUUACUGGGUGUAAAGGGAGCGUAGACGGGAGUGCAAGUCUGGAGGGAAAGGCGGGGGCUCAACCCCCGGACUGCUCUGGAAACUGUACGGCUGGAGUGCAGGAGAGGUAAGUGGAAUUCCUAGUGUAGCGGUGAAAUGCGUAGAUAUUAGGAGGAACACCAGUGGCGAAGGCGGCUUACUGGACUGUAACUGACGUUGAGGCUCGAAAGCGUGGGGAGCAAACAGGAUUAGAUACCCUGGUAGUC